rnacentral:rRNA from 1 species
CCUACGGGGGGCAGCAGUGAGGAAUAUUGGUCAAUGGACGAGAGUCUGAACCAGCCAAGUAGCGUGAAGGAUGACUGCCCUAUGGGUUGUAAACUUCUUUUAUAUAGGAAUAAAGCGAUCCACGUGUGGGAUUUUGUAUGUACCAUAUGAAUAAGGAUCGGCUAACUCCGUGCCAGCAGCCGCGGUAAUACGGAGGAUCCGAGCGUUAUCCGGAUUUAUUGGGUUUAAAGGGAGCGUAGGUGGAUUGUUAAGUCAGUUGUGAAAGUUUGCGGCUCAACCGUAAAAUUGCAGUUGAAACUGGCAGUCUUGAGUACAGUAGAGGUGGGCGGAAUUCGUGGUGUAGCGGUGAAAUGCUUAGAUAUCACGAAGAACUCCGAUUGCGAAGGCAGUUCACUGGACUGCAACUGACACUGAGGCUCGAAAGUGUGGGUAUCAAACAGGAUUAGAUACCCCUGUAGUC